AUCUCUAAUGUAAGCUAUUGUGUAGAGGAUAAAGUCCAAACCCCUUGGCAGUGCAUCCAAGGUCUCUGGUAAUUCACUGUGUCUGUCAGCAUCACUCCCCUCACCCCCUCCGCAGUUACCCGGCUCCAGGGAUACUGACAGACAACACUCUCUGCCUCCAUCCCCUGGCAUAUGUGGUUUUCUUUGCUGGAAGGUCCUGGCUUGCUUCCUUACUAUCUCCCUUCUAUCUCCAGACUAGCAAGUGUGGUUUUGGAGAAUCAGUACCAAUGUGCGACUUCAGAGUGACCAGCACCAUGUAGCAGCAAAUCCCUCCAUCCUGCGAGGCUUGAUCUCAGCUCUACAGGAUGUGUGCUCAAAGCUCCUGAGGAACCCAGAAACUCAAAAUACCUAAAUAUAAAAUGCUUAUUCUCCUAUGCCUACUCAGAGAAAAUGGUCAACUAUCUUCAUGGGACGUGCCGUUCAUGUGCCAAGUCAUAACAGUAUUAGAUUCCCCAAAUGGCCUUUUCAAAGAUGAGAGAAAAUGAGUGGCAGAGAGAAAGUAUGUUGGAUACACUUUGUUCUGGAUAUGAUAAUAUGCCUGAGUCACCUUGCAUUUACUUCCUGUCUCCUUUGUUGCUGCAUGCACCCAACCACCCCAACCUCUUUGGAAGAAAUCCUGUUCCUGGGGGUGCACGUUCCUAAUACAAACCAACCAGUUUGGAGUCUACGCUCCCUAACCAUGUCCCUUUUUGGGUUUUCACACUCUAGACCACUUUACACUUGUCUUAGUUACCACAGAGUCAGGCACUGGAAAACCAGGAACAGACUUUAUGCCCACAACCUGCUGAAAUUAUCCAAACAAGCCAGCCUUCAAUUGGUUUACCCCGCCUUGCCUACAGCAGAAAUACAGCAAAGGCACUUGCCGUUGUUGUUCCUCCCAUUCUCUGCCAUGCUGACCCAGGGGAUUCUCUACUUAUCCCCACCACUCUGUAGCAUAACAUAUACU